rnacentral:rRNA from 1 species
AGCUAAUACCGGAUAAUAUUUUGAACCGCAUGGUUCAAAAGUGAAAGACGGUCUUGCUGUCACUUAUAGAUGGAUCCGCGCUGCAUUAGCUAGUUGGUAAGGUAACGGCUUACCAAGGCAACGAUGCAUAGCCGACCUGAGAGGGUGAUCGGCCACACUGGAACUGAGACACGGUCCAGACUCCUACGGGAGGCAGCAGUAGGGAAUCUUCCGCAAUGGGCGAAAGCCUGACGGAGCAACGCCGCGUGAGUGAUGAAGGUCUUCGGAUCGUAAAACUCUGUUAUUAGGGAAGAACAUAUGUGUAAGUAACUGUGCACAUCUUGACGGUACCUAAUCAGAAAGCCACGGCUAACUACGUGCCAGCAGCCGCGGUAAUACGUAGGUGGCAAGCGUUAUCCGGAAUUAUUGGGCGUAAAGCGCGCGUAGGCGGUUUUUUAAGUCUGAUGUGAAAGCCCACGGCUCAACCGUGGAGGGUCAUUGGAAACUGGAAAACUUGAGUGCAGAAGAGGAAAGUGGAAUUCCAUGUGUAGCGGUGAAAUGCGCAGAGAUAUGGAGGAACACCAGUGGCGAAGGCGACUUUCUGGUCUGUAACUGACGCUGAUGUGCGAAAGCGUGGGGAUCAAACAGGAUUAGAUACCCUGGUAGUCCACGCCGUAAACGAUGAGUGCUAAGUGUUAGGGGGUUUCCGCCCCUUAGUGCUGCAGCUAACGCAUUAAGCACUCCGCCUGGGGAGUACGACCGCAAGGUUGAAACUCAAAGGAAUUGACGGGGACCCGCACAAGCGGUGGAGCAUGUGGUUUAAUUCGAAGCAACGCGAAGAACCUUACCAAAUCUUGACAUCCUUUGACAACUCUAGAGAUAGAGCCUUCCCCUUCGGGGGACAAAGUGACAGGUGGUGCAUGGUUGUCGUCAGCUCGUGUCGUGAGAUGUUGGGUUAAGUCCCGCAACGAGCGCAACCCUUAAGCUUAGUUGCCAUCAUUAAGUUGGGCACUCUAAGUUGACUGCCGGUGACAAACCGGAGGAAGGUGGGGAUGACGUCAAAUCAUCAUGCCCCUUAUGAUUUGGGCUACACACGUGCUACAAUGGACAAUACAAAGGGCAGCGAAACCGCGAGGUCAAGCAAAUCCCAUAAAGUUGUUCUCAGUUCGGAUUGUAGUCUGCAACUCGACUACAUGAAGCUGGAAUCGCUAGUAAUCGUAGAUCAGCAUGCUACGGUGAAUACGUUCCCGGGUCUUGUACACACCGCCCGUCACACCACGAGAGUUUGUAACACCCGAAGCCGGUGGAGUAACCUUUUAGGAGCUAGCCGUCGAAGGUGGGACAAAUGAUUGGGGUGAAGUCGUAACAAGGUAGCCGUAUCGGAAGGUGCGGCUG